UACUCUUAAUUCCGAAAGUUAUUUUGCAAGGAUUAUUUAAAACCCCCCUUAAAUUACUUUUAUUUAAAACCCCCCUUAAAUUACUUUAUAAUAUAAGUUUAAACACCUUAUAUCAAUUAGAAUAAUUGUAUAAUUUAUUAUGGAGUGAACUCGUCCUAUAUCUAUUAGGAAGCCUCUUAAUAGAUUUGGCUCAGAAUCAUAAUUUUCUAUUUUAAAAACUUAGGUCAAAAUUGUAGCUCUGUGUUAUAAAUAGGUAUAAUAGAUUUUUUAUGAUGACAAAGAAGAAAAUAAAGCAGAAUUAUCAUGAGCAUCUUCAAGAAAGAAAAAUAUUGAAGUAAAUUAAAAAGCAAGGAGGUUAUGAUGUUUCACACAAGAGAAUCAAUUGUUAAGAACAAACUCAAACACUACUAUAAAAAAAUACAUUUCACCUCAGGUGUGAAAUAUAUUUAACCUCAGAUAAAGAAGCGGGGUAACAAAGUGCUUCAUGAAAAGCUGCCACUUUACUACUCGAAUUUUCAAAAACUGAGGUGUAAAGUUAUUUGCACAUGGAUUCGAACCCCGAUAUCCGCAUAGAUUUUUUUUUGUAAAAAAAAAAACUCGUUACAUUGUAUACACAUAAUAUUAAUAAAUUAAUUUGUCAGUGAAGCUAAAAUGCUGGAUGUUCGAAUCAUUGAAUUUUGGAGAAGAUCAAAUGUUGGGUGCCAGGAUAUUUUCAAUUGUUUUUGCUUGCAUUUGUUUUUGAUAUAAAACAAAAAAAAGUUAGAUAAUUAAAUGAUUUUCUGCUCAAAUAAAUACUUAUGAACACAAACCUUAAACUCAAAUAAUUUUCUGUUCUUGCAAUCCAUCAUAGAGAAUUAUUCUCUCGAUUAUAACAAAAGCCAAAGUAAAAAAAAUUUACCCCUCGAUUUCAACUGAAAACCAAGGUGAAUAAGUUUUUUUAAGCAUACUUCUACACAUUCUUUUGAGGAUUAUUCUACAUAUUAAAUCCUAUAAUUUCUCUUUUGAGAUUUAUUUCAUGCACAUCUUUUAAAAAAAUAAAAGUUCUACUAACCACCAAUACUUUUAUAUUUAUAUGAUCAUUUUGAUGAGUUAUAAAGACAUACACAACACUUAAAUAUACGAAAGAGUAAUUCUAAUAAAAAAAAAGAGGUUUUCACAUUAUAAAUUGAACUUAUAAUUUUCUAUUUUUGCAUGCAAAUGUGGAGAAAUAUGGCUGGAAUUUUAAAGUUUGUUUAUGUUAUAUUUAUUUUUCUUUUCAUAUGUAUCGGUAUGGCUGAAGCUUUUGAUAAUGUUUGCUUAGUUGAUGAAGAUUGUCCUAUAUCUAUUUGUAUGCGAUCUAAAAUUCGAAAGUGCAUACACACGUUUUGCUAUUGUGUGUCAAGGCCCAAGGGGUAGGCCAGCUAGGCAAUUGCCUAGGGUUUCAAAUAUUUUUACAAAUUAACAAUGUAGUGUUAAUGUUCACAUGUUCUCUCUAUGUGAAUUUUAUUCAGUAUUUUAUUGUAAUUUUAAUUCUCUAAUAAACCUGCUCCAUUUAGUUAGCA